GUGGGGGUGGGGGCCCCUGGGGGCAGAGGGGGUAGGAGCUGGGCAGGAAGAGGGGGGAGUCCAGGAAGGAGGUGGGAAGAACUGGCAAAGCUCCCUGCCACCCCCAUUUUCCAGAUGACGCGACUGAGGCCCAACCAGCUUUGUAGGAGGCGGAGUCUCCCCAGGGUCCCUCUCAGGCUGUCCUAGGGGAGGGGGCUCUGGGAGCCACGAGGCCCCUCCCUGUCUCUCUCUCCAUCUCCCGGCAAGCUCAGAGGGGCGGGGAGAGAGAGCCAGAGGAGGAGGAGAACUCGGGCAGCUCUGCAGAGGGGGGUAGGAGCUCCGGUGUUUGGUACCCCCAGCCCCACCGCUGUUGCCGCUGCUGCAGCGGGGACACAGGCCUGGCUGUGGCUGCUUCUCCUCUUCCUCCUCCUGCUGCCGCUGCUGCUACUGCCGCUGUCCGGCACACACCGACAGCCCAUCGGGGUGUGGUUUCCCCAGACCAGCCCCCAACGGUGGGACACAGCUUUAUCCCGGCCUCCCCCAUCCACCUCCUGCAAGGCCCACCAGCCCCCCUCCCUAGAGACACACCCAACACCCUUUCAACACCUCAUCCCACUCUCCAACCCAUUUUGGGGGGACCCCUCUCCUCUUAGUCUUUUAACAUCUGGGUGCGCUGGGGCUGUUCCCAACUUCCAACUGAGCACCAGGGGGCUUCCUCGGGCCCCUUUCCUCCCCCUGGAACUCUGGAGAGGGUAGACCAGACUUUCUCAGCACCCCCCAUACCCCUCUCUCCCAGACAGAUCUUUUCAGUCUCUGAAAGAUAACCUAGCCCCAUAUCUACCCCUUUAGAUACCCCAUUGCCUUCCCUAGCCCCUCUAGGGGGCCCCACCUCGCCUUCCUUCCCCAGAACUCCUGUAGAGUAAUAGACACCCCCCCCAGGCUAUUCUUGGCAGCUCUAGGCACUCCCAAGACAGCUCUCAGCCUCUUUACAACCUCCUGGUUCUAUAGCCACCUCUUACAUUCACCAACCCCUUUCCUAGAUCCACGAGGGAGCUCCAAUCCCCUAAUCUUUUCCCCAGAAGUCUUGAGGGUGUGGACAACCCACCUCACUUUUCUCAGUCCCUCCAGAACCCCCCUCCAGCCACUCUUGGCCUCUUUCAAACACCUCUGGUCCCAUUUCUAGCCUUCUGGAUGCACCAAUCCCCUCUCCAAGCCCACUAAGGGGUCCCAGCCCCAUUUUCCCUCAGAACUCUUGAGAGUGUGGACAGGUCCCCAGCGUUUCUUGCCCCUCCUAGACACCCCAGACAUCUCACAGGCACCUGCUGACCCCUCUAGAACCAUCUCAGCGUUUCUAAACACUCCCUGAGAUCCUCGUUGGUCCCUCUAGGCUCCCCUUUUCUGCUACUCUCCAUGUCCCCCUAGCCCCUUCUCCGUAGUUCCCUCAAGACAUCCCCCAGGUCCUUCCCAGACCCUCUAAAUGCUCCCCAAGCCCCUGCCCAUCUCUCUAGUUCCUCCUCCUG
rnacentral:lncRNA from 1 species